rnacentral:rRNA from 1 species
UAGGGAAUCUUCCGCAAUGGGCGAAAGCCUGACGGAGCAACGCCGCGUGAGUGAUGAAGGUCUUCGGAUCGUAAAACUCUGUUAUUAGGGAAGAACAUAUGUGUAAGUAACUGUGCACAUCUUGACGGUACCUAAUCAGAAAGCCACGGCUAACUACGUGCCAGCAGCCGCGGUAAUACGUAGGUGGCAAGCGUUAUCCGGAAUUAUUGGGCGUAAAGCGCGCGUAGGCGGUUUUUUAAGUCUGAUGUGAAAGCCCACGGCUCAACCGUGGAGGGUCAUUGGAAACUGGAAAACUUGAGUGCAGAAGAGGAAAGUGGAAUUCCAUGUGUAGCGGUGAAAUGCGCAGAGAUAUGGAGGAACACCAGUGGCGAAGGCGACUUUCUGGUCUGUAACUGACGCUGAUGUGCGAAAGCGUGGGGAUCAAACAGGAUUAGAUACCCUGGUAGUCCACGCCGUAAACGAUGAGUACUAGGUGUCGGGAAGCAAAGCUUUUCGGUGCCGUCGCAAACGCAAUAAGUAUUCCACCUGGGGAGUACGUUCGCAAGAAUG